rnacentral:rRNA from 1 species
GAUGAACGCUGGCGGCGUGCCUAAUACAUGCAAGUCGAGCGAACAGACGAGGAGCUUGCUCCUCUGACGUUAGCGGCGGACGGGUGAGUAACACGUGGAUAACCUACCUAUAAGACUGGGAUAACUUCGGGAAACCGGAGCUAAUACCGGAUAAUAUAUUGAACCGCAUGGUUCAGUAGUGAAAGACGGUUUUGCUGUCACUUAUAGAUGGUUCCGCGCCGCAUUAGCUAGUUGGUAAGGUAACGGCUUACCAAGGCAACGAUGCGUAGCCGACCUGAGAGGGUGAUCGGCCACACUGGAACUGAGACACGGUCCAGACUCCUACGGGAGGCAGCAGUAGGGAAUCUUCCGCAAUGGGCGAAAGCCUGACGGAGCAACGCCGCGUGAGUGAUGAAGGUCUUCGGAUCGUAAAACUCUGUUAUUAGGGAAGAACAAAUGUGUAAGUAACUAUGCACGUCUUGACGGUACCUAAUCAGAAAGCCACGGCUAACUACGUG